GGAGCAGGAGAAGGAGAAAGAGGAGACAGAGGAGGAGAAGGAGGAGAGGGAAGAGCAGAAGAAAAAGGAGACGGUUGUUGUUGCUCCACUUCUCACCAUGGUCUCCUUCCCCUCCCCACGGUGACAGCAGCACUGGAGCUUCUCCAGCAGCCUGGGAGCUGUGAUCACACUCCCACUGGGAAUGCCACCCUUGCAGGAGAUGGGAAUGUGUCAUUUCUGUGAAAAAAUGGAUUUUAACAUUCACAGCUCCUGCCCCAGAGCCUCUUCCUCGCCCAGGCAAAGAGUCUGUCUGAAAUACUGCCCAGAGGGUGGUGGAUUUAUUGGUGGAUUUAUUUCCCUGAUAAUAUCCCUCUGGAAUUCUCCCAGUCCCAUUCCCAAAUCACAGCUCCCACAGCCAGGAGAACUGCAGACUGACAGAUGGAUGCCAUCCUCCACAGGAACUUUGGGAUUUAACGUGCAGCAGGAGACAUCUUUAAGGAACAAGAGCAGAUGGAUUUGCUUUUUGGACCCACAGGCAGAGAUUGAUGUCAUUCGCUGUCUUUUGACUACUUCCAUCUUUAUCUUUAUUUUUUUUUUUUCUGCAGAAAUUAACCUUUCUGUCUGUCUGCAGACAGAAACUUGGGAUGGUUUUUUAUUAUUUUUUUAUAUUAUUCCCUCUCGGAGCACGGCAGGUAAAAUAAUUGGCCUUAUUUAAAGUAAAUAACAGGGUGAGUGAGUGCCGAGUUCAGCCUAUAUCAUGGAAAAAAUAUCAUUUAAACCCACAGUAAUUACUUGUCUUUUUUUAUUGUUGGGGUUUCUUAAAUAACUAUUUAAAUGCAGACAUUUAUUUUUAGUGCUGAGGUAAAAAAGUCUGAUUUUUUUUCCCUUCCCAGCCCCUGAAGCAGUGCAGUGUCAGUCUAAUCCUCGCUGCCAUCAGGAUUUUUCCAGCUGCCAUCAAAUGAUGAGAUGUGGGAUAUUGAAAGGCUUCAUACAGAUAAUUGGGAAUAGCUCAACAGGCAACAUGAGCUGUGCCCCAUUUGGCUUUUCAUAUGUGUAGCACUGCAAGAAACCAGAAAUAAUUCCAAAAAUAAAAGUACACCUCAGUUUCUCGCCAGGUGAGGUAAGCUGGGACGUGCUCCGUGCCAGGAAUUCUCCCUGAACGUGUCUUGGCACCGAGCACUGGGAGCAGGCCGGGGCAAAGUCACCUUUUGCCUUCAGAAAACAGAAUAAACACCUUGGAUUGGCCGCACUGGCUCUGUGCCAGCAGAAACAAACUCCCUCCUGCACUCCUGGCCAUGUUCACCUCUGAUUUCCUGGCAUGAACCAGCCAAACUGGGUGGGAAAAGUGGAACUGGCCCUGAUUUUCUGCCAGGCUGCUGCCCCAGCUCCUUGUCUGUGUGAACAUUCCCUGGUUUUCUUCAGGAAGCAGCAGCUGCCUUUGGAUUGAGGCAGAUUUAUUGUUCGACUCCAGCAGAAGAAUUUUGGUUCAGGUGUGAACGUGGGACAAACAUUUCCAGGUGGAGUGUGAGCGCCUGGGGCUCACAGGAAUCUGGAAAAUAAAUGUUCAGAGUUUUUAGGUAAGAGCAGGAGGCUGAAGGUGCUCAGGGAAUGCAGGAGCUGUCUGCAGAAUUAAACCCAAACCAAUCCCAUCCUCCAGGGCAGGCAGCCUGGAAGGUUCUGCCCUUUGAGACACAAUUCCCGAUUUUUUUCUCUGGUUCUGCCCUCUGAGACACAAUUCCCGAUUUUUUUUCUCUGGUUCUGCCCUUUGAGACACAAUUCCCGAUUUUUUUUCUCCAAGGCGCUCAGGGGAAGCAGGAGCUGUCUGUGGAAUUAACCCCAAACCAAUCCCAUCCUCCAGGGCAGGCAGCCUGGAAGGGAUUCUGCCUUUUGAGACACAAUUCCCGAUUUUUUUUUCUCUGGUUCUGCCCUUUGAGACACAAUUCCCGUUUUUUUUCUCUGGUUCUGCCCUUUGAGACACAAUUCCCGAUUUUUUUUCUCUGUGCUCCAUGAAAGAUCAGGAGAUUGAGGACAAAGAGCAGCUCCUGUGGCUGCUUCCACCCGGGAAUUGCAAUCAUGGCAUCACUCUCUUCCCUGGAGCCUGAGGGGAGGAAAGUUCCCUCCUUCCCUCUCUGAGUUCACCAGGAUGUUUUCUGUUUAGUUCUCAGAUCAAAGAACAGAACGGGGAAAGAUCACCCAAGUGAUUUGCUUUAAAUCCUGCAAAGCCACUUCCCAAAUAACAGCCACACGUCUGUGUUAAAAUAAAAGGAUUUGGGUUAUUAUCUCCCAGCGCUGCGAGGUCGGAAAUUGGAACCUGUGGUGUGCCUAUAAUUUGAGUGGCUGCUCUUGCUGAGUAACAAAAGUGAGGAUUUGCUAAGGAAAUUAUUUGGAGUGGGGGAAAAUCUGCACAUUCCAUCUCUCCUUUGGCUCCCAUCCCUUGGAGGACAGAACCAGACCACCUUUAAGGUCCCUUCAACCAAAAAAUCUGCACAUUCCAUCUCUCCUUUGGCUUCCAUCCCUUGGAGGACAGAACCAGACCAUCUUUAAGGUCCCUUCACACAACAAAAUCUGCACAUUCCAUCUCUCCUUUGGCUUCCAUCCCUUGGAGGACGGAACCAGAGCAUCUUUAAGGUCCCUUCAACCAAAAAAUCUGCACAUUCCAUCUCUGCUUUGGCUUCCAUCCCUUGGAGGACGGAACCAGACCGUCUUUAAGGUCCCUUCACAAACACCUUCACACAACAACAACCGUCUUCCAUGAUGUGCCUAUAAUUUGAGUAGCUGCUCUUGCUGAGUAACAAAAGUGAGGAUUUGCUUAAAAAAUUAUUUUGAGUGGGGGAAAAUCUGCACAUUCCAUCUCUCCUUUGGCUUCCAUCCCUUGGAGGACGGAACCAGACCACCUUUAAGGUCCUUUCAACCAAAAAAAUCUGCACAUUCCAUCUCUCCUUUGGCUUCCAUCCCUUGGAGGACAGAACCAGACCAUCUUUAAGGUCCCUUCACACAACAAAAUCUGCACAUUCCAUCUCUCCUUUGGCUUCCAUCCCUUGGAGGACGGAACCAGACCAUCUUUAAGGACCCUUCAAC